rnacentral:rRNA from 1 species
AAAGCCCGCAAGGGUGAGUACAGUGGCGUACGGGUGAGUAACACGUGGAUAAUCUACCCUCUAGUGGGGAAUACCGUUGGGAAACCGACGACAAUACCGCAUAAUCUCGAGAGAGGAAAGCAGCAAUGCGCUGGAGGAGGAGUCCGCGGCUGAUUAGCUAGUUGGUGAGGUAAUGGCUCACCAAGGCUCAGAUCAGUAGCCGGCCUGAGAGGGCACACGGCCACACUGGCACUGAAACACGGGCCAGACUCCUACGGGAGGCAGCAGUGGGGAAUCUUGCACAAUGGGGGAAACCCUGAUGCAGCGACGCCGCGUGAGCGAUGAAGCCCUUCGGGGUGUAAAGCUCUUUCGGCAGGGAAGAUUAUGACGGUACCUGCAGAAGCAGCUGCGGCUAACUACGUGCCAGCAGCCGCGGUAAUACGUAGGCAGCAAGCGUUGUUCGGAGUUACUGGGCGUAAAGGGUGUGUAGGCGGUUGGAUAAGUGUGGUGUGAAAUCUCCCGGCUUAACUGGGAGGGUGCGCUACAAACUGUCUGACUAGAGUGUGGGAUGGGAGAGUGGAAUUCCUGGUGUAGCGGUGAAAUGCGUAGAUAUCAGGAGGAACACCGGUGGUGUAGACGGCUCUCUGGACCAUAACUGACGCUGAGACACGAAAGCGUGGGUAGCAAACAGGAUUAGAUACCCUGGUAGUCCACGCCCUAAACGAUGCAUAUUUGGUGUGGGUCAUUCAUUUGAUCCGUGCCGGAGCUAACGCGUUAAAUAUGCCGCCUGGGGAGUACAGUCGCAAGGCUGAAACUC